rnacentral:rRNA from 1 species
AUGGAGGCUUUGAUGAUAUCCGCACGCUGUGGGCAUAUGACACUCAAAGAUGUUAUGGCGGUCGUUGACAAAGAGGGGAAGAGUGUAGUCGCCAGUUUUCGUGAUCACAGAAAGCGAACGGUUCUGCACUAUGCCGCUGCAAAAGGGGAAGCAAAUAUCUGCUCAUAUCUCAUCAAUGAAAUUGGCAUUGAUGUGAAUGCUUUUUAUGGCGAAGGUCAAACACCAUUGAAGAAAGCUACAGAGAAAAGUAACAUGGAAACUAUUGAAUGCUUGCUUAAUCAUGGGGCCGAUCCAUGUGUUUUAAAUCUUGGACCUACUAUAUUGUGUAAGGCUGCGAGGAUUGGAAGCCUAAGAAUAAUGAAGCUACUACUUGAUAAGGGAGUUAAUAUUGAUGCGAAAAGCUAUGAGGGUAUUACUGCACUUGUGUGUGCUGCUAAUGCUGGCCAGAGCGGUGCAGUCAAGUUCCUUGUAGAACAUGGUGCUAAGGUGCAGCCACAAGAAGAGUUUAAUUCCAGUCAUGAAGUCACACCCUUAUCUUAUGCUGUCUCCUCUGGUUCCAUUGAAUGUUUUGAUCAUUUAAUAAAGGCCGGUGCAGAUCCUAAGUUAAUCCAGAAUCCUCUACACAUUGCUGCUUCUAGUGGGAGUGUCAAACUGGUCGCUUGGUUUCUACAAUUUGGAGCUGACCCAGAUUCUUGUGAUUGUGUCGAUGGAUUGAAACCCAUACAAGUUGCUGCACAGCGUAAUUAUGUUGAUGUUGUUGAGUUACUUUUCCCAUGUACCAGAAGAAUUUCAGGUGUUCUGAACUGGUCAGUGGCCGGUAUCAUCGAGACUUUUGUUGAGAACAAGACAAAAGACGUUACUCAUAAGGAAGCCAUUUCGAGAAGAAUUUCAUCGACUAAGAUGAAUGUGAGUAUUUUGUCAGAUGAAGAAAUAAACCUUAAAAUCAAGGCAAUGGUACCGAAAGAAGAGUACCAGUUCUUUUCCAAAUGGUCAGCUACAAAGAAACGGUUAUUUUAUGAGUCUACGUUGUACGGACUGCCAGAACCAAAGCGAAUUUUCAAUUAUGAUGUUGGAACUAUAACGAGUAGUGUCAUUUUUGACACAACAAGUGCUAGUCCCACAAAGGUGCAGGCGAGUUAUCUCAGAGCUAUAAGUGUUUAUCGACUUUGGCACUUUGCGAGGUCCGAUGCUGUUUAUGAACUUGGUCCUGGUGGCAAUAAAAUCACUGUUUCGAGAGAAGAUGGGACGUUUGUUUUCUGGUUCAGGUAUAAGAAGAAUGACGUCGGUGUGGUAAUUGAUGGCCAGAGCAUUUGGAUAGAUGGUUUCCUCCGAAGGACCUGUAAUGAUAGCGGCAGUUUUACUUAUCGUCCUCCGAUUCAUUUCUGUGCUGGCAGCUUAAAGCACACUGACAGCAAUGGUAAAGGAACCUUUGAAGAGUAUAUUAUUGCCUCUGAUUUGAUGUUAUCGGAUUUAGGUGGUCAAUACAGUGGUAGUGUGUCACAGCUAAAACUAGAAGUACACGCGGUGCGUGGUGCUGUCGUUGCUAUUAGUAAUCACAAAGAGAACAUGUCUUUUAGGAGCACCUGCCAUAAUGCUUCGGAUAUGCUCAUUCUGUAUUCAACGGAGGCUGGAAAGAACAACUGGAUAUUUCAAUACACUAUGAAGUCCUUGGAGAGAAAACAGGUGGAGGUACCUAUUUCAGUACCUUGUUGUUUGGAUGGUACGGUCACAAAUCACAGACAGGUAUCCCAUAGUGCUCUGAAUGCCCUUGACACAAUAGCUCAAAAAACAUCAGUGGAUGCUUCUGCUGCUCCUGAUGCCAACCCUGUUGCUGCUUCAACUGUUAGUACUGCUGUUGCUGCUGCUGCUGCUGCUGCUGAUACCUUUGUUGCUUCUAAUGACAAUAUUGUUGCUGCUACCACUGUUAAUGCUGCUGCUGCUGCUGCUGCUGCUGCUGCUGAUGUUGCUGCUGCUGUUGCUGCUGCUGAUGAUGAUGAGCAAGAGGAGGGGAAUGAGGAGGAGGAGAAAGAAGAUGGAGGUCCUGCUGCUGCUGCUGCUGCCUAUUACGGCGAUGAUGAGAAGGAGAAGGAGAAAGAGGAGGGGCUGGAGGAGGAAGAGGGUGGAACCAAUUCAGGCAGCAUUUUGACUGGUCCUGCUGAUGUUAACGGUGAUGCCGUUGAGGGGAAGGUGGACGAGGAGGGGCUGGAGCAGGAAGGGGGUGGAACUAAUUCAUGCAGCAUUGUGAUGGGUCCUGCUGAAGAUGAUGAUGUUGAGGAGGACAAGUUGAAGAGGCGGGAGGAGGAGAAGAGGCGGGAGGAGGAAGAGAAGGCAUACAAGACUGUGACUGGUGUACCGUUUCGCAAAUUAUCCCAGUGCCUUGAUGCUUAUGUAGUGUUGCGAAGAAGAAAAGUGGUCAAAACCAGGUUCUUUCUUCCGAACAAGAAAUCUGAGUUCAUGAAUCAGGAAACUGAUGCUAUAAUGAAGGAAAAUGAUGAAAGUGAUAAGCACUUUAAAGAGAGAGUACUCGCAGCAAAUCUCAGAAGAGGAACACUUUUCACUGUAGAAGAGCAUAGCGGCAUAGGAAAGCACAGAGGCAGAUUGUGGCCCAUGCCACCAAGGCCAUGCUCCAAAAAGAAGGGCACGAAAAUUCGGUGGUUUUAUUUAGCUGAGCCUGAGUAG